CUUAAAAACAAUUUUUGGCUGCUUAUUUGAAAAAUUACAUGGACCAAAUGUGGUUCUGGCAUAAGCAAACACAGCUCCCACUAAGUCGGGGACAAAUAACUCCUGAGGGGUUAUAUUUAGAACAAACACCAUGCAUUCCCAGCAGCUUUUCUUGUGGUGUAUCUUCACUUUUGUUUCCAGUCCUCCUGACUGAAACCAGGAAGCACAGAAGUGUGCAAACUUCAAAAAGCAGCACGACUGCAGAAGGUGGGGAACACAAAUACCUUGGCCCUGAUCCUGCAAACUGAUCUGCAUGAGCGAACUCCCACACAUCCCCAUUGAGAUUAUUGAGGCAUGGCACCUAAGGUGGAAAAUCAAGAGGAUGAUUUUCAAACAUUUGUAUAGCAAUACAAUUUCAAACUCAAAAUCAUCAGAACUCCUGGGAAAGUCCUCCUCCCUCUCCAGUGAUGGUUCUUCUGGGGUCUACAGGUACAAGCAUAGGAGUCUCCUCAUCCUCCACCAUCAGGGAAGCCACUGAGUCCUCUCCUACAAAGAAUCAAAGUGCCUCUGCCUCAUGCCGUACCAGUGUCUGAAGGAUGAGAACCAGCCUAUCAGAAUGGGAUUUGCACACAGAAGAAAUCCAACCUGUGUGCAAUGGGAGCAAUGAAACGUGCUAAAGUGAAAUCUGAAACAUUGCAUCCUGGGAAAUGUUUGACUUAACAUGUCACGGAAGAUAAUAAAGAAUAACUCGUAUUCAUUGAAGAAAUUCUGGCCUUCGCUUAUAACGAUGUUACUUUACUUAGAAAUAUUGUCUUCAGAAAUAUCAGUGAAAGCUUGUGGAGGGCCUAAUCCUGGAAUCUUCACUGAAAUGACCUUACCCAUGUGCCAGUGGGAUUUCUUGUUUCUCCAUAUAGGUACUUAUAUGGCCCUCAUCAACUUAAUACUUGAGCACAUGAGUAAGGUUGCAAUAUAAAGCCCUAAAAUGUAGAAAUAUUGCAUGUUUGCCUGCAUGGAGUUUGUGUUUACACAAGUAAAGGCCAAUGGUAUAAGCAUAUUGAGACAUAGGAGUAUUUAUAACGUGCGUAGUUAUUCAAGAUCAUAAUAUUAGAAACCCUUGAAAGCACUCUAGUAUAACCUCUACCUACAGCAUACUGUAGAAAUGUUACUUUGUCACAGACCUGGCCACAUACUCAUGGUAAAUUAUCACACUGCUCCCAGGCUACUUGCCUCUUGCUAAAAUUAAUUCUGUACAUUUAAUUGUAACUAAUUUUUUUCAAACCAAUGAAUAAAGCAAAAAUAAUUUUAUAGCAAACAUUACCAGUGCUAAAAUGAGUCAACCGUUCUGUCUGCUCCUGUCAGGGCAGAAUUCGGCCCAAUGACUUUACAGAACCCAAACAAUAAAUGGGAAAAAAAUCCCUAAGGAAUACACACAGAGAGAGUUCCUGAAAUUGAAAUCUGAACCCUAAAUGAGCUAAUACUUCUCAAGAAUUUUGUCAGAAAAGAAUCCAAUAUGCCUCACACCCCUAUAGGGCCAGAAUCCAUCCUUUCUAUUGUUAAGCCAAAUCUAUCCCAUCUCUGGUAGUACAGAGACAAAAAAAUCAAUGACCUUUUAUUUUACUUGGUCAAUAGCCAUGUGCAGUAAUUACUCCAUAAUUAAUUGCAAGCGUGGAGCAUCAAAUUGCAUGGAGAAGUAAAAGCACAGUCUGAGAGAAGUGGAGCUGAUAUGUAAUGUUAUGAAUAGCAAGAUGUAACAAUUUUAGGAGCACUGUACAUGACCGGGUCAGUGAGGGGGCGUUAUGGUGUAUUUGAUUAUAAGGACUUCCUUCCUGACUGCAUUAAAUUAAUUUAGAUUGGGGGCUGUGGGGAGAACAAACAGGGAAGUAAUACAAUGGCUACCCAGCUAAGAAUACCCAGUCUCACGCUUGAAAGACAAUGGGUAAAAGUAUCUGCUUCAGGGACCUUGCAUCCUGUCUUGAAGGAAGAUGCAAGUUUCUUUUGCCAGGCUGGGAACUUGGAGCUCAAAAGAAUGCUAAAUAGUUAAAAGCCCUCUGAGGAGAUGGGCAGUCACUUGUCAGAAGCUGUCUAGAGAGACAAGCUAACAGAGUGAGAAAGAGAGGACUCUGCGGAGGGCAUCUAAGCAGUAGGGCCUUUCCAGAUCCAGAGAGAGAUACACCUUAGGGAUAAGAUAGGUAUGUAUACGGUCUGUUAUAUUGGUUUUGAGAUGUUGUCUCUGAAAUGUGUUUGUUCUAAAUGUAACCCCCUCAGGAGCUAUUUGUCCCUGACAUACUAUGCUAAGACUCAAGGGGACUUGCCCCUGGACAACGGAAGUUCAGGGCUUCAGUUCCCAGAUUGCCUGAAGUCCUGGAGGCAGAUAGAACAAGCUGGAAGCUACUACCAGAACCAAUCAGAAUCCAGAAUUCAGGGACAAAGGGUUUGGUUUUACUUUUAUUUUUGGCUGUUGCUGGAGUGCAGGGAGAGAAACAUCACAGCCUGAGUGUGGGGUGAGGGGUGUAACCCAUUAAACUGCCCAAAGAAUAACUUUGAACUCUGUCCGUGAUUGCUGGGUCAUUGACGGGUUGUUACACUCAGAUGCACCCCAAAACUGCAAUCCCAAGCUACCAAAAAAAUGAAGCAAGACACACAAGUAAAUUGUCAGUCAAAACAAGUAAUAACCAUAAACCAGUUAAGUCAGCAACAGUCUGAACAAAACAAAAUAGUCCAAAAGGUUGAUGUGUAGCAGCAAUCCCUGAGUAGCUGCACACAUGUUUUGUUGAGCUGUCUGUGAUGAUGACUCCUGGGUCUCUGUCCUCAGGGUAUCCUGUGAACUCAGAGCCCCCAUCAGCAUAUUCAAGAAGUUUAUUUUGUCUUUGUCAGCAUUAAAUUUAAUCUAUCACAGUAUUGCCCAAUUCCCCAAUGAGGUUAAGUUUUGCUGCAAUUUCUCAUAGUCUUGUUUUUUCUACUGUUUUUACAGCUUAAUGUCCUCUGCAAACUUCCCCACUGUUCUAUGAACCUCCCCUUCACAAUCACUGCUGAAUAUAUGAAAAUGUACGUCCCCAAACCAAUCCCUGAAGAUCUUCACCAGCAAAAAGAAAACUUUUUCUUCUGUGGAUGUCACAAGUCAUUAUUUAGAUUAUUCAGCCAUCUAGCUGCUGCAUCCGCAAGGAUAGCAAACACUUGCAGACGCCCCUCCAAUUGUGUUUGACCAUCUGUAUUGCUGCCCUGCAAUCACACUGUGAAGAUUGGGUUAAGCCAAAAUUCUGCAUUAUGGAAGCUAUUCUGGCCAUUCCAGUCAGCAGUCUGUUGAGCCAAUCCAGGAUCAGCUUCCCAGAUUGCAAACAGGUGGGUGUAAAUUAGGGCUUCUAUCACAUAGUUGCUGUUUCUAUGUGAGGACAUAGCUAUUGGCCCUGAUAUGCCAUUGUACAUCCAAGAUUGGCAUUUGACUGGUAGCCCUGGAUGGGCAGCUCUGGACACGAAUGCAUGACAAGCUAAUGAAAAAAGAUGUCGCCAAGUCAGUCAUGACAAGUCAACAGGCGCUGCAGCAGUAGGUGUUUUCUUCUGGAGCUGAGUAGAUCUUGUGAGACGUGUGUCUUAUUGGAACCAUUGUCGGCCUUGUGUGCAGCAGCUUUUUUUCAUUUUUCAUAGCCUUCCAUUCAGUUUUAAGGGUGAGGGCCUCUUGUUGAAGCUCUGGAGGAGCUAUAUGAGACAACACAUAUAAAUUAGGUAUGAAUGUGUGACUAAGGCAACCACUCAUGAUAUGGGUGGCUGUAUUCAGUUCUGAAUCAACGAGGUGGGUACGCCAACAUCUGCCCCAAACUGCUGUACAAUAUUCCACUGGAGCAAAGAACAGCACCAGGACUGAGAACGGGUUUGACUCCCCCGAAGGUCCUUGCUAGCUUCUGCCUUGAUGUGCGGCCAGCAGAGACACAUUGUGGAGGGAAUCAAUGAACUGACCAGAUCAAUACAAUCCCCAGUAAAAAAAAAUCUCAAAUGAACCCAACUUUGUUGUUGUUGCUGUUAAUAGGUUGAACUGAUUUUGGAUAAACUUCCCACCUCCUUGCUCACUUCUUAACUUUGCUGAUUCUUUAUUGUGGUCUCAGCUGGUCUAACCAUUUUUAAAUGGAAG